UACGUAGGGUGCGAGCGUUGUCCGGAAUUACUGCGCGUAAAGAGCUCGUAGGCGGUUUGGUAAGUCGGGUGUGAAAACCCCAGGCUCAACCUGGGGACGCCACCUGAUACUGCUAUGACUUGAGUCUGGUAGGGGACCACGGAAUUCCUGGUGUAGCGGUGAAAUGCGCAGAUAUCAGGAGGAACACCGGUGGCGAAGGCGGUGGUCUGGGCCAGUACUGACGCUGAGGAGCGAAAGCGUGGGUAGCAAACAGG
rnacentral:rRNA from 1 species